AUACGGAGGGUGCGAGCGUUAAUCGGAAUUACUGGGCGUAAAGAGUACGUAGGCGGUUUGCUAAGUCAGAUGUGAAAGCCCCGGGCUUAACCUGGGAACUGCAUUUGAUACUGGCAGACUAGAGUAUGAUAGAGGGGGGUAGAAUUCCUGGUGUAGCGGUGAAAUGCGUAGAUAUCAGGAGGAAUACCCGUGGCGAAGGCGGCCCCCUGGAUCAAUACUGACGCUGAGGUACGAAAGCGUGGGGAGCGAACAGGAUUAGAAACCCUAGUAGUCC
rnacentral:rRNA from 1 species